CAUAUAUGUUUGUCUUGGUCCUAGAUUUAGCCAAGUCUAAUCAUUAAGAGAGGAAGACUUUAGGUUGGGAUGCACACAUACAUGAUAGUUUAUAGGCUGUAUGCUUAUUCUUCUGUACAUUUGGAAAUGAAGUUCAGAAUGUGGCAUAGGAAUGGAGGUGUGAACAAGUGGUGAUAUCUAUAGCUAUGGAAUCCUGCUAUUUGAGAUGCUCACAGGCAAGAGACUGACAGAUGACAUGUUUAAAGUGGCCUGAACUUGCAUAACUUUGUCAAAAAAGGCUUUGGCCUCCUUUUCUUGUUGGAUGGCAAUCAGAGCUGAGUCUUCUAGCCGUCCCGCUAGCUUUUGAGCAAGCACUUGGAGCCCAUUAUUGAAGAUGAGCUGUUGAACGAGCACAUGGGCACUGUUGAAGAGUUUCUUUUAUUCACAGGUUAAGGAGGGGGAGAGUGAGAGCAAGAGUACUAAUGUUUUUGGUAGGCUGCCUAGCAGUGCUGCUGGUUGGACGACAACUACAAGGGAAAGGAAUGGCACAAUUUGUUCCCCCACCAAUGAUGGCAUUCUAGCCCCAAGGAAUUGAAAGUCGCUUGGUCUCAAGAUUAUGUCGGUGUUUCAUGAAAAGCACAAAUGGUUAAAAAUUUCUUCUGAUAUUAUGGAUAAUAUUUAAAUUUUGGUUUCUCAUAUUUUGAAUUGAAUUGAUGUUUUGCAUCUGGGGUUGUAAUGGCCAUUUGAAGGGUUGAUUCUGGCACUUUUAUAUGACAACACUUCUAAUGAUGCUAAUCGUUGACCCCUUUGGGCUUUUAGUGAUGCCAAUUUAGUUUAUGGUGUUUUACCAUAAUUCUCUGUAGCAAUAAUGCUUCCCAAUUUAGUGUAUGUUAUGUUUCACUGGAUAAGUAGGCAUUGCAUUAUGGUUAUUUCUUGAUACAUGUCCUGCCCAUGCUAAGCUCGGCUCAAAGAACACUAGUUUAAACCAUGUAUGGUGCAGCAGGAUUAGAUAGGAGGAACACAAACAACAUUGCUCUUUGACUUUAGGUAUUUUUCCCAUUCUUCUGGAUAUAUUGUCACAAUAUGCGGACAUUGUCUCCUAAACCUAUGGCAGAAAUCAUCUCAGGUGCUGAAUUUGAAUUUGAA